AAGCGAUAGCACAUCAUAACCAGCAAUCGUCCACAAAAUAUAUUGAGACUUUUUAAAUCAAUCCCCUCCGCCCUUAUUUCAAUGUUGAAACCUACUGUACUUCUCGAAAAGGAACAUAAGGUGAUACUAGAACCGCAAGUGUGUCAUUGGCAGUUGAAAUUUAACAGAUGAUGUUGGAUUUAAACUAUUUUGUAGUGCCUAACGACAUUGAAAUUGUGGGAGGGGGUUUGUCUCAAAUAUUUUGUGGACGAUUGAGGGCACAGAAUGGGUCAUACAGAAGCCCGAUUUCUUGGUUUUUCCUAUGAUUUUCCAAUGAUUUUGACGUGACCGUAAUUCGUCAUCAAAAUGGCCGGUACAUGUUUGGUAGGCAUUCAAUCCCACUGAUAAUAUUCAAAAUGGUGGACGUCCAGGGGGGCGCACUGGCUGGGACCUGGCAGCGACUGCUUCUAUUUACAGUAUUUGCCAAGUAACGAAUCAUGACGAAUAGCGCUUACGCAGAAAACAAUGCAUCAGAUGGACUUCAGUAUAGUAUUCUGAGUCAUGAGGUUGAUGGCAUGCAACAUGUACGCACUGCGUACCUAUUUUU